rnacentral:lncRNA from 1 species
AGCCGACAUUGUAUCUGCAGAGAGUAAAGAUUCUAGUUAGACUUUUGUACUUGAUCCUAAUCUGUUCCAAGGUCUUUUAGAACAAAUGUAACUCCCACUAUUUUCUCGAAUCCCUCACACUCCCCUGGUAGGAAAACGGAAAUCCCACACGACUAGGGUUUCUAGUGGGUACUGCGGUCCCACCGAUUUACAUGCCACCUCACCUAACAGUUAUUGGUGACACAUAGAUGAAUGAGUGUACAACUCUUAUACAAUGCUUCUCAAGCAUGGUGCAGUGUAACUUGGUCUCUAAGCCAUGAAGACCUCACCUAACAGUUAUUGGUCCCAUUUCUUAGUUAAGUCAGACCCACCGUAUAACCGUAGGAAUAAAGUCGUCAUUGGGUCCUCACCUAAUAGUUAUUGGUGCCCAACCCCACCUUUACCCUACAACAUCUCAUGUCUAUAGAGAGGUCCAGCCCCCCGAUGCAAUUUGACCACUGUGUCCAGCCGAGAC